UGGAGAAAAGCAGGGGAUCGUAAGACCUUGCGCUUUUGGAGCGGCCGAUGUCUGAUUAGCUAGUUGGUGGGGUAAUGGCCUACCAAAGCUUCGAUCAGUAGCUGGUCUGAGAGGACGGCCAGCCACACUGGGACUGAGACACGGCCCAGACUCCUACGGGAGGCAGCAGUGGGGAAUUUUGGACAAUGGGCGCAAGCCUGAUCCAGCCAUGCCGCGUGAGUGAAGAAGGCCUUCGGGUUGUAAAGCUCUUUCAGCCGGGAAGAAAAGGCUGCGAUUAAUAAUCGCAGUUCAUGACGGUACCGGAAAAAGAAGCACCGGCUAACUACGUGCCAGCAGCCGCGGUAAUACGUAGGGUGCGAGCGUUAAUCGGAAUUACUGGGCGUAAAGGGUGCGCAGGCGGUUUUGUAAGUCAGAUGUGAAAUCCCCGGGCUUA
rnacentral:rRNA from 1 species